ACUCGUUAUUCACAAGAGUUAAUCUCAAGAUUUUAUAAUAACAAGUAGAGAAGAAUGUCACUAGGUUGUAGUAAUAAGGUUUUUUUAGCCACAAUGGUCCUUAAGAUUAGUAUAACUUUUUACUUUGGUCCCUGAGAUUUAAAAUCAAUAGAAGUGGUCCAUGAGUUUAUUUACCAUCAAUCAUUUUGAUCAUUCCAUACAAAAUUUCCGUUAAAUAAGGAUAAAAUGACAAAAAUGCACUUAAUUUUUGUGAAAUCAUUUUGACUCAUUAUUUAU
rnacentral:lncRNA from 1 species